rnacentral:pre_miRNA from 9 species
UCUCGAUAACGUAAAAGUUAAUUCAAAUUUGUAUGGAGUUGGAAUGUUUGCCUGCGUUUCUCGCUAGGGGCGCUGUUCCAACUCCAUACAAAGAGUUUACUUUUACGCGAUCGA